rnacentral:rRNA from 1 species
AUUGAACGCUGGCGGCAGGCUUAACACAUGCAAGUCGAGCGGAGCGGCGGACGGGUGAGUAAUGCUCAGGAAUCUGCCUAUCAGUGGUGGACAACAUCUCGAAAGGGAUGCUAAUAUCGCAUACUAAUAGAUGCGCCUAAGUCGGGUUCGCUAGUUGGUGUGGUAAAGGCCUACCAAGGCGACGAUCUGUAGCGGGUCUGAGAGGAUGAUCCGCAACACUGGGACUGAGACACGGCCCAGACUUCUACGGGAGGCAGCAGUGGGGAAUAUUGGACAAUGGGGGGAACCCUGAUCCAGCCAUGCCGCGUGUGUGAAGAAGGCUUUAUGGUUGUAAAGCACUGUAAGCGAGGAGGCGUUACUCGCAGAAUAAGCACCGGCUAACUCUGUGCCAGCCGCCGCGGUAAUUC